ACACGUGAGUAACCUGCCCUUGACUCUGGGAUAAGCCUGGGAAACUGGGUCUAAUACCGGAUAUGACUCCUCAUCGCAUGGUGGGGGGUGGAAAGCUUUUUGUGGUUUUGGAUGGACUCGCGGCCUAUCAGCUUGUUGGUGGGGUAAUGGCCUACCAAGGCGACGACGGGUAGCCGGCCUGAGAGGGUGACCGGCCACACUGGGACUGAGACACGGCCCAGACUCCUACGGGAGGCAGCAGUGGGGAAUAUUGCACAAUGGGCGAAAGCCUGAUGCAGCGACGCCGCGUGAGGGAUGACGGCCUUCGGGUUGUAAACCUCUUUCAGUAGGGAAGAAGCCCUCUUUGGGGGUGACGGUACUUGCAGAAGAAGCGCCGGCUAACUACGUGCCAGCAGCCGCGGUAAUACGUAGGGCGCAAGCGUUAUCCGGAAUUAUUGGGCGUAAAGAGCUCGUAGGCGGUUUGUCGCGUCUGCUGUGAAAGACCGGGGCUCAACUCCGGUUCUGCAGUGGGUACGGGCAGACUAGAGUGCAGUAGGGGAGACUGGAAUUCCUGGUGUAGCGGUGAAAUGCGCAGAUAUCAGGAGGAACACCGAUGGCGAAGGCAGGUCUCUGGGCUGUAACUGACGCUGAGGAGCGAAAGCAUGGGGAGCGAACAGGAUUAGAUACCCUGGUAGUCCAUGCCGUAAACGUUGGGCACUAGGUGUGGGGGACAUUCCACGUUUUCCGCGCCGUAGCUAACGCAUUAAGUGCCCCGCCUGGGGAGUACGGCCGCAAGCUAAAAC
rnacentral:rRNA from 1 species